GACUCUCUCUGUCUCCGAUUCUUUUCCUGCACUCGGACGAUAGGGCAACACCAGGUUUAGAACCCGGUUCUCCCGGUGGCACUGGAGUUAACUCACUGCCCCGCCGACGGUCACGUGCCAACGGCUUAGCCGCCCGCGGAUAUCCUGCCGUGAGGCAGCCCAGCUCCGGAGCCCCGUGUGAGCCCUGCUCACGUUAGUCUACGAAUCGGGGCAGGGCACCAGGCGGGGGCUUUGGAUUGGCCGGUCACGUGAGUGACGCCUUCUGGAAUUUCGCAGCCCACUCCCCACCCCCACUGUGCUUGUCCUUGAGGAAUUUCAGUUUUGCUUCCAUAUUCCGGACGGAUUACCUGGGGGAGCGUCAAGUUACAUGUAAUUACUGUGUAUCGUUUGGCAAGCAAUUAGCAGCCGGGAAUAAACAGAUCCGUGUUUCCCGGCCCCUCUUUAAUCACUUUGCACACCCUCAGAACCCCGAGCAAAUAUUAAGACAAUUAAUCGUGGCCAGCCUGUCAGUCAUAAGGACAGCACUUCCGAUUAAUUAGGCAGAGUCGGUGCUCAGUCCCGGAGCAGGCUGAAGUUUUGUUCAAGGUCACGCUGAAUUCUGGAUCCCCUCUCUGUGGGCAGAGAUUCAAGCCGAGCCCUGAAGCUUCCUCCAGGAUUAUCUGCUCCUGGCUCGGCUGUCAUCACCAGUGAAUUCUGCACAAUCUCUAUUGUUUCCUUGGAACAUCUUCCUGGUGACCUCGUGAAACCUUCUGUGCUCGGAGGGGGAGGGAGGGACUUCCCAGCGAGUCUUUGGAGGCCGAGUUGCGGUGCUGUUGUUACGCAGAGGUCAUUUGGAGGAUCAGGUGGGGCCGGGAGAGUCGCAGUCUUUGGAGGCAGAGUGAGGAAAGCCUCAUCAGGGUCUGAGGCUGGUCUCAGAAAGCAGAAGCAGUGUCGCUGGUCUGUGUCCCCAGUGCCUGGGGACCUCAACCAAGCCCUGAACUGCGUUACCUCCCCGGGCCUGAUGUCUACCACCUCGAUCCAUUUCCACGAUUCCAGCAAGGAUUGUGUUCCCAGAGCACCACUCCAACCAAGCCGCUGUCCUGCUUAAAAUCGAUCCGUGGCUCCCCGACGCCAGCUGAGCUGCGCCCGGGCCCCCUGAGAUGGCACUCCACUCUUGGUGACCCCUGGCUUUGAUUUCCAUUGCCUUGAAUUGAGUCUCCCUGCGCCACUCUUCGUGGAAUUCUCAGAGCAACUCGGUCUCCGAGAAACCACGGUCGAAUAGCUCGAGACGGAAGUCACCGUGGCCUCCUCUGACCCUGUCAAGGGGUUCCGUGCUGCUCUCUGACUCACACACCACCACCGGCCUCACCACCACUGUUCUCAUCUGAAUGCCUGUGUCCCCCCAACCCCCCACCCCCCAGCAAAUUUCUGUGUUGUAACCCGAUCCCGAUGCGACGGCAUUUGGACACAGUGCUUUCUGAAGGUAAUUAGGUCAUGAGGGGGGAGUCCUGGCGGUUGGGAUUAGUGCCUUAUAAAAAAGGCCCCUGGGACAUCCCUGACCCUUCUCCAUCCCUGAGACGACGCAGUCUUAGAAACAGGACGCGGGCUCUCACCGGACAUCAAAUCUGCCAAUACCUAAUCUUGGAUUUCCUGACCUCCAGAACUGUGAGAGAUAGAUUUCUGUUAUUUAAGCACUCAGAACUGAUUUAGACAACCACCACCACCAUCAGUCAUCAUCACUGCUUCUCUCUUUAUUUACCGUUAUUUUAAUACGUCUUUUCUGUCAUUCCUGGCUGAAUGCCCUCACCUUGAGGGCAGAGUUAAAUCUGCGUGGUCUUUGUUGUUGUUGUUUUUUUAAUGUUUAUUUAUUUUUGGGAGCGAGAGCGAGAGCGAGAGACAGAGCAUGAGCAGGGGAGGAGCAGAGAGAGAGGGAGGCACAGAUUCCAAAGCAGGCUCCGGGCUCUGAGCUGUCAGCACAGAGCCCGACGUGGGGCCCGGGCUCACGAAAGCAAGUUCGUGACCUGAGCCCAAGUCGGAUGCUUAACCGACUGAGCCACCCAGGCGCCCCUCUGUGUGGUCUUUGUAUCCAGUCCCAAUGCCCAACCCAG
ensembl:lncRNA